rnacentral:rRNA from 1 species
UACGUAGGGUCCGAGCGUUGUCCGGAAUUAUUGGGCGUAAAGGGCUCGUAGGCGGUUCGUCACGUCGGGAGUGAAAACUCGGAGCUUAACUCCGAGCCUGCUUCCGAUACGGGCAGACUAGAGGUAGGCAGGGGAGAGCGGAAUUCCUGGUGUAGCGGUGAAAUGCGCAGAUAUCAGGAGGAACACCGAUGGCGAAGGCGGUUCUCUGGGAAUAUCCUGACGCUGAGGAGCGAAAGUGUGGGGAGCGAACAGG